CAGACCACUAACUAGCUGUCUAUAGGUCUGUAUAAGUAUGUGUCACACCAAGGUCAUAACGACCUACAGACCACUAACUAGCUGUCUAUAGGUCUGUAUAAGUAUGUGUCACACCAAGGUCAUUACGAUCUACAGACCACUAACUAGAAUGUGUCACACCAAGGUCAUUACGAUCUACAGACCACUAACUAGCUGUCUAUAGGUCUGUAUAAGUAUGUGUCACACCAAGGUCAUAACGACCUACAGACCACUAACUAGUAUGUGUCACACCAAGGUCAUAACGACCUACAGACCACUAACUAGUAUGUGUCACACCAAGGUCAUUACGACCUACAGACCACUAACUAGCUGUCUAUAGGUCUGUAUAAGUAUGUGUCACACCAAGGUCAUAACGACCUACAGACCACUAACUAGUAUGUGUCACACCAAGGUCAUAACGACCUACAGACCACUAACUAGUAUGUGUCACACCAAGGUCAUUACGAUCUACAGACCACUAACUAGCUGUCUAUAGGUCUGUAUAAGUAUGUGUCACACCAAGGUCAUUACGAUCUACAGACCACUAACUAGCUGUCUAUAGGUCUGUAUAAGUAUGUGUCACACCAAGGUCAUUACGAUCUACAGACCACUAACUAGUAUGUGUCACACCAAGGUCAUUACGAUCUACAGACCACUAACUAGUAUGUGUCACACCAAGGUCAUAACAAUCUACAGACCACUAACUAGUAUGUGUCACACCAAGGUCAUAACUAUCUACAGACCACUAACUAGUAUGUGUCACACCAAGGUCAUUACGAUCUACAGACCACUAACUAGCUGUCUAUAGGUCUGUAUAAGUAUGUGUCACACCAAGGUCAUAACGACCUACAGACCACUAACUAGCUGUCUAUAGGUCUGUAUAAGUAUGUGUCACACCAAGGUCAUUAC